rnacentral:snRNA from 1 species
GAAUGUGAGGGUGAUCUGGCUGCAACAUCUGUCACCCCAUUGAUUGCCAGGGUUUAGAUCAGAUUUGGCUGAUCUAGCUGACUAGGCUAGGCGGGUGUCCCCUCCCUCCCUCACCGCUCCAUGUAUGCCCCUCCCAAAGCUGCACACUCGGUCGGUUGAAGAGGAUGACCUUCCCCAGUAGAGGAGGACCGUUCUUCAUUCUUUGGUCAAGGGUAUACAAGUAGCUGCACUCCCCUGCUAGAACCUCCAAACAAGCUCUCAAAAAUCAGUUGUGUUUUUAUACAUUAACAACAAACUUUCCACAAGUAAAAUUAAGAAAACAAUUACAUUU